rnacentral:rRNA from 1 species
UACGUAGGGUGCGAGCGUUAAUCGGAAUUACUGGGCGUAAAGCGUGCGCAGGCGGUUUUGUAAGCCAGAUGUGAAAUCCCCGGGCUUAACCUGGGAAGGGCAUUUGGGACUGCAAGGCUGGAGUUUGGCAGAGGAGACUGGAAUUCCUGGUGUAGCAGUGAAAUGCGUAGAUAUCAGGAGGAAUACCGAUGGCGAAGGCAGGUCUCUGGGCUAUAACUGACGCUGAGGAGCGAAAGCAUGGGGAGCGAACAGG